GACGAACGCUGGCGGCGUGCCUAAUACAUGCAAGUUGAGCGCUGAAGGUUGGUACUUGUACCAACUGGAUGAGCAGCGGACGGGUGAGUAACGCGUGGGUAACCUGCCUUUGAGCGGGGGACAACAUUUGGAAACGAAUGCUAAUACCGCAUAAAAACUUUAAACACAAGUUUUAAGAUUGAAAGAUGCAAUUGCAUCACUCAAAGAUGAUCCCGCGUUGUAUUAGCUAGUUGGUGAGGUAAAGGCUCACCAAGGCGAUGGUACAUAGCCGACCUGAGAGGGUGAUCGGCCACAUUGGGACUGAGACACGGCCCAAGCUCCUUCGGGAGGCAGCAGUAGGGGAUCUUCGGGAAUGGACGAAAGUCUGAACGAGCAACGCCGCGUGAGUGAAGAAGGGUUUCGGAUCGUAAAACUCUGUUGGUAGAGAAGAACGUUGGUGAGAGUGGAAAGCUCACCAAGUGACGGUAACUACCCAGAAAGGGACGGCUAACUACGUG
rnacentral:rRNA from 1 species